rnacentral:rRNA from 1 species
AGGGUGAGAAUCCCGUAUGUGACCGAUCAUCGAUUCUAUGUGAAGCCCUUUCGACGAGUCGAGUUGUUUGGGAAUGCAGCUCUAAAUGGGUGGUAAAUUUCAUCUAAAACUAAAUNCCUGCCAGAGACCGAUAGCGCACAAGUAGAGUGAUCGAAAGAUGAAAAGCCCUUUGAAAAGAGAGUCAAACAGUACGUGAAAUUGUUGAAAGGGAGGCGCUUGCAAUCAGACUCGUUUGCAGAAGUUCAGCUUUUCUACGGGAUAGUGUACUCUUCUGUCAGCGGGCCAGCAUCAGUUUUGGCGGUUGGAUAAAGGNUUCGAGAACGUAACUCUCCUCGGAGAGUGUUAUAGCCUGGAAUG